rnacentral:snRNA from 1 species
AAACCUGGCAGGGGGAGAUAACCAUGAUCAUUAAGGUGGUUCUCCUAGGGCAAGACUCCAUUGCACUGAGGAUGUGCUGGCCCCUGCAAUUUCCUCAAAAAAAAUUGACAGCAUAAUUUGUGGUAGUGGAGGGCUGUUUUGGCACACUCUCGUG